rnacentral:rRNA from 1 species
GACGAACGCUGGCGGCGCGCUUAACACAUGCAAGUCGAACGGACAGGCCCUGCUUAUUGGGGGUGCUGGGGUGGCGAAGGGGUGAGUAACACGUGUGUAACCUGCCCUUGACUUUGGGAUAACGCCAGGAACCUGGGGCUAAUACCGGAUAGGUGCCCCUGCUGGAUGGUGGGGGUUGGAAAGUGUCGGCUGUUGGGGAUGGACUCGCGGCUUAUGAGCUAGGUGGUGGGGAAGUGGCUGACCAAGGCUUUGCCGGGUAGACGGCCUGAGAGGGUGACCGGCCAGAUUGGGACUGAGAUACGGCCCAGACUCAUACGGGAGGGAGCAGGGGGGAAGGUUGCACGAUGGGCGGACGACAGAUGCAGCAACGGAGGGUGCGGGAGGACGGCCGGCGGUUGGGUAGCCGCUUUCGCUUAGGACGAAGGGUGAGUGACGGUAAUGGGUAAAGAAGCACCGGCUAACUACGUG